GCAUGCGUACUGGGAGAGAUAUCUGGAAUGAAAUGGUCCUCCAUGUGAGCCACAAGCGGGCAUUCAACAACUUGAAAACUGGAUUGAAAAUGAGAGACAGAGCAGCCACUGCAGAAGCUUCCAAAAUCACUCUGCACUUUCUUGAACUGCUGCAAUCCACGUGGUGAUGUAGCUCCCAUGUUGCAAAUUGGUCAGUGUCUUGUUAUUGCAGCAAGUCCGUGAGGGUCUCCAAAAACGAACUUGACAUUUUGCGCAAGAGCAGGGUUCCAGCAUGUUCAGCAGUCUCACGUGGAGGGCUGAAUAAGUGAUCCCUCGAGUGUCGGUGAAGUGAGACGGACGGGCCCGCAAGGUACGAUUCACCUUGGUCUCUCUCACUAACCUGCCAUCCAUGCGACCCCCCCCUCGUCCCUGCGUGUCUCUGUACUGACGGAACCCAAGCUAACUCACGGUCUUGAACACUGCUAAAUCCUAACGCCUGGAGGCUGGAGUCCCCAGGUGAGUAAAGAAAUCCAGGAGGUUCGAGUCCCCUGGUGGCCGGGGGUGGAGUCCACAGGUCAGAUAAGUGGUAAUUUUUAAAAUCCGGGAGGAUAGAUUUCACCUGGUGACCGGGGGUGAAAUCCUGUGUCGGGCAAUAGGGAAAAGGUAGGGCGUUUAGUGUAAGCCCUAGGUACAGUGUAGUUACCGUGUCUGUCUGUUUCAACCACCCUGCCUUAGACCGGUUGUUAAGAGGGGAAAUCCCCCACGCGAAGGUCAGGGCCCUGAAGUGGGUGUUGUUGCUAAGGACACUGCAGUAGUAUAUAGGGACAGUAAAAAGUGAAAGCGCUCAUAAAAAGAAAACAGCAAAGGGAAAAAUGGGACAAACACUGGAUAAAUCAGGUGUCGGCACUCCUUUACAUCGAUUCUGCCGGGAUAAUCCUGAAAAUGAAGUACAGUACAGACGUCUGUCAGCAUGCUUAAACAAGAGAUUGGGAAAUGAGAAUUGGCCAUUGGGGAGAACGUGGGAUAUAGAUCUAUGCACUAAAGCAGAAGAGGCACUGGAAAGGGUUAAUAUCAUUCUGGAGAAAGAGAGCUGAGGAGCUGCCUGAAAAAUCAAAACUGGCCAGUUGGGUGGAUAAUGCACGUAGGAGAGAGAUCAGUGCCUGUGAUAACGAGGGGAAACCAAAAACUUGGGAAGUUUUAAAACUGCAGUGUGAGGAUCAUGAGAUGAAUGAAAGGGAAAGAGUUAACCAAGAAAGGCAGGAGAGAGAACAACGAGACAAAGAACGCGGGCUAGAGUGGCAGGCCGCAUUGACAGAAAACAAAAAAUCGGAGGUGCCUCCUGACAUAUCUGGGGUGCCGAUGUUGUUCCAAAUUAAUGACACAGAUGAGCAAGACCAAGGAGGACUGGGGAAGGCAUCCCUCUGCCUCAUCGGGACUGCUACCCCCUCCAGAACCCUACCCGUCCUUGGCCAAUCUACAUCUGCAGGCAGCCCAACACUGCCAUCAGUCCCAGCAACCGCCACCAUCCGCUGCCCAAACUAAACCUCCCAUAGAAUCUCCAAGCCCUUCAGUAGGCAGCCCACAUGAAUCCCCUGGCGAGCCCACGGCUUGUACAGCCCCUACCUCCUGUCAUACCAGAUCUAAAACAAAACAGGGAAACAGGAAACAGGGCGCAGGCCAGACGGUCAGUGAACAAAAGGAGGGACGACAGGAUCCUUUUAAAACCCAUGAGAAGCCCAGGAAGACAUAAGUCCCGGGUGCAGCCGCCUUGACCCUCUAACACCUGUUUGCUGUUUCCUGGCGACUCCACAAGUAGCGAAGAAUAUGAGUGUCCCAACUCACAUGCAGAGGAUAGUGAAUGUGAGGACAGAGUUUGGAAGAGAUCCUCGAAUAGCCAUCCCCUAAAGAAGGACCCUGGCAGAAAAAAAAACCGGCAAUUCCCUAAUCGCACAGUCUCUCAC